UACGUAGGGUGCAAGCGUUGUCCGGAAUUAUUGGGCGUAAAGAGCUCGUAGGCGGUCUGUCGCGUCUGCUGUGAAAACUCAGGGCUUAACCCUGAGCUUGCAGUGGGUACGGGCAGACUAGAGUGCGGUAGGGGAGACUGGAAUUCCUGGUGUAGCGGUGAAAUGCGCAGAUAUCGGGAGGAACACCAGUGGCGAAGGCGGAACUCUGGGCCGGAACUGACGCUGAGGAGCGAAAGCGUGGGGAGCGAACAGG
rnacentral:rRNA from 1 species